rnacentral:rRNA from 1 species
AUGGUCACCCCUGGUUGCUCCUCUGGCCGGAGCGACGGCGCCGCCUUCUUCCCGAUCGGCUUCGCCGGGUUUCCGACGGCCGUGGCUCCACACGCCACGUCUCUAAGCACGACCGCGCCCGCGCCGACCUUCGCUCCAUCGCCGAUGCGCACAUUGCCGAGCACGCUGGCCCCGGCGCCGAUGAGAACCCCGUCGCCGACCUUGGGGUGCCGGUCGCCGCAUGCCUUCCCCGUGCCGCCCAGCGUCACGCCGUGCAGGAUAGACACGUCGUCGCCUAUGACCGCCGUCUCGCCGAUGACGACGCCCGUGGCGUGGUCGAGCAGGAUGCCCCCGCCAAUGCGCGCCCCGGGGUGGAUGUCGACGCCGAACACCUCGGAAGCGCGGCUCUGGAGGAGCAGCGCCGGCGGGCGGCGGCCCUCGGACCAGAGCGCGUGCGCGGCGCGGUGGGCCUGCAGGGCGAGGAAGCCCUUGUAG